GACGAACGCUGGCGGCGUGCCUAAUACAUGCAAGUAGAACGCUGAAGGCGGAGCUUGCUCUUCUGGAUGAGUUGCGAACGGGUGAGUAACGCGUAGGUAACCUGCCUUUUAGCGGGGGAUAACUUCUGGAAACGAUAGCUAAUACCGCAUGACAACAGCUACUGCAUGAUAACUGUUGGAAAGGGGCAACUGCUCCACUACGACAUGCACCUGCGUUGCAUUAGCUAGUUGGUGAGGUAUAGGCUCACUAAGGCGACGAUACAUAGCCGACCUGAGAGGGUGAUCGGCCACACUGGGACUGAGACACGGCCCAGACUCCUACGGGAGGCAGCAGUAGGGAAUCUUCGGCAAUGGACGGAAGUCUGACCGAGCAACGCCGCGUGAGUGAAGAAGGUUUUCGGAUCGUAAAGCUCUGUUGUAAGAGAAGAACGAGUGUGAGAGUGGAAAGUUCACACUGUGACGGUAUCUUACCAGAAAGGGACGGCUAACUACGUG
rnacentral:rRNA from 1 species